rnacentral:rRNA from 1 species
CCCUAGACAGGGGGAGUAACUAUUGGAAACGAUAGCUAAGACCGCAUAGGUACGGACACUGCAUGGUGACCGUAUUAAAAGUAGCCUCAAAGCACUGGUAGAGGAUGGACUUAUGGCGCAUUAGCUGGUUGGCGGGGUAACGGCCCACCAAGGCGACGAUGCGUAGCCGACCUGAGAGGGUGACCGGCCACACUGGGACUGAGACACGGCCCAGACUCCUACGGGAGGCAGCAUG